AUUUUUUUUUAAUUAUCUGGCAACCUGACAAAUAAGACAAAGCAAGAAUUUUGCAAAAUUUUCGGUUUCAGUUCUCCCGAGAAUUUCGAUUGCGCAACCUCGUUGAACUUGGAGAGAAAUAUAAGAAUCCGACGUGCAAUAUGACCAUUCAACGUAUUAUUUACGCUUUUGGACAUCGUACCUUGCCUUUGUUGGCAAAUAAUAGUCCUAUUAGUGCACAAGCCAUAAGAAAAAUGUCGGCAUCAGUUUUGGCUACAGAAUCCUCGGACAAAGGCAUGAUUAUUUUAAAUCGUCCUAAAGCUUUGAAUGCCAUCAAUUUGGAUAUGGUCCGCAAAAUCUACAAACAUUUAAAGAAAUGUGAAACCACAAAGUCUUUGAUGAUUAUUAAGGGUACCGGCGAGAAAGCUUUCUGUGCUGGCGGUGAUGUACGUGCUGUGGUCGAGUCUGGCCCCAGUGAGGAGUCAAAAAGUUUCUUCCGUGAAGAAUACACUACAAAUGCCUUAAUUGGCAACUACACCAUACCCUAUAUUGCCCUUAUCGAUGGCAUUACCAUGGGUGGUGGUGUUGGUUUGUCUGUUCAUGGCAAAUAUCGUGUGGCCACCGAACGUACAUUAUUUGCCAUGCCAGAAACAGCUAUUGGACUGUUUCCCGAUGUGGGUGGCUCAUAUUUCUUGCCACGUUUGCAGGGCAAAUUAGGUCUCUACUUGGGUCUUACCGGUGUUCGUCUAAAGGGCGAAGAUGUUUUCAAAGCAGGUAUUGCUACCCAUUACUGCGAAAGUUCGAAAAUAGCUGAAUUGGAAACAGCUUUACUUAAUUGCCCUGACGCUGAAGAAGUACCAGAAAUUUUAAAUAAAUUUAAUAAUCCUUCACCAAAACCUUUUGUUUUGGAAUCACACUUGGAUCAAAUCAAUAAAUGUUUUGCCGGUGAAAGUGUAGAAGAAAUUAUUGAAAAUCUCAAGAGUGAUGGUAGUGAGUGGGCAACAAAAACUAAGGAGGUUCUACUUAAAAUGUCACCCACCUCAUUGAAAGUAACAUUCCGUCAAUUGGAGUUAGGAGCUAAAUUAUCUUUGCCACAAUGUCUAAAUAUGGAAUACCGUAUUGUGGUGCGUCAUUUGGAGAACAGUGACUUCAAAGAAGGUGUACGUGCUCUACUCAUUGACAAAGAUCAAAAGCCCCAAUGGAAUCCCAAGACUUUAGAAGCCGUAACUGAAGAACGUGUACAAUCGUUCUUUGCCAAAUUGCCCGAUACCGAAGAAUUAAAAUUGUAAAUUAAAUGAAAGUUUUGCUUUUGAGUUUUGUAACAGAUUAUUAUUGCUUGUUUUUCGAGUUACUUUUUUUUUUGUUUACUUUCUACAUGUUUUGUGGCAAACUUGCAAGUUACUAAGACCAAAUAAAUUUACACUCUGAAUAUCUACAUAAUUAACCAUUAAAAAAACGAAAACUGUGUACCAGGAUAUCAUGCAUUUACAUAAUUAAAAAAAAAAUUAAAUGUUGCAAAAUAUGCUAAACAUUUAUUUUCGUCAACA